GUCCUUUAGAAAAAUAUAAUUUAAGGUCUAACCUGCCCAUUGAUAAAGUUAAAAGGCCGCAGUAAUUUGACUGUGCAAAGGUAGCAUAAUCAUUAGUUUUUUAAUUAAAAGCUUGUAUGAAUGGUUGGACGAGAUAAAAUCUGUCUCUUAAUAAAAAAUAGAAUUUAAUUUUUAAGUUAAAAAGCUUAAAUAUAAAUAAAAGACGAGAAGACCCUAUAGAUCUUUAUAUAAUUUUUUUUAGUAUUAAUAAAGAAAAUUUUAUUUAUUAAUUUAAUUUAUAUUUUAUUGGGGUAAUAAAAAGAUUAAAUAAAUUCUUUUAUAUUAAACAAAGAUUAUUGAUUAUAUGAUCCAUUAUUAAUGAUUAAAAGAUUAAGUUACCUUAGGGAUAACAGCGUAAUUUUUUUAGAGAGUUCUUAUCAAUAAAAAAGUUUGCGACCUCGAUGUUGGAUUAAAAGUAAUCUCAGGUGCAGAAGUUUGAGAUUUUGGUC
rnacentral:rRNA from 1 species